UACGUAGGGUGCAAGCGUUACUCGGAAUUACUGGGCGUAAAGCGUGCGCAGGCGGCUUUGCAAGACAGAUGUGAAAUCCCCGGGCUCAACCUGGGAACUGCAUUUGUGACUGCAAGGCUAGAGUACGGCAGAGGGGGAUGGAAUUCCGCGUGUAGCAGUGAAAUGCGUAGAUAUGCGGAGGAACACCGAUGGCGAAGGCAAUCCCCUGGGCCUGUACUGACGCUCAUGCACGAAAGCGUGGGGAGCAAACAGG
rnacentral:rRNA from 1 species